rnacentral:tRNA from 1 species
GGGGGUGUCGCAUAGUGGCCAAUUGCAACGGACUGUAACUCCGUUGACUUACGUCUACGUUGGUUCGAAUCCAACCACCCCCA